UGUUCACAACUCAGUGUCUCGUGAAACCGCGGUUCCAAGUGACUCCUUUUUUUUUUUAACACCAACUCCCUAAUUUCCCCCGGAGUGCCAAAUUCAGUGAUUUCACCGAAACGUUUAACCCUCACUGUGGUGAAAAUUCAAGGAUUAAUUAAGGAUUAUUCGGAGGAUGUGACAGGUCCACGACGACCUUGGGCGUACGAUCGCUCACAAUGCCGCCAUCACGUUAGCCCACCACGACACCCUCGAAAAAAAUGUUAAGCCUGUGAUAUGGUGAGGACAAUAUGGAUGCUCUCCGUGGCGUGUCUGCUAGCGGGUCUAGCGCACGUUGCGGAGUGCUACCUGGCAGUAUUGUCCUCGACCCUGGGCCCAGGAGCCCUGAUUUUCGAGGCAGGUGUCCCAAGGCUGGGAGGCCGUCGAAAAUACGAGGCAUCCGCCCACACGGCGCGUUUUGCCCGAAAACUCCUGAAGGUUCACCCGCACAAUGGCCGAGUGACUUUAGCAAGACCCCUGAACUGCGACGGACUCCAAUACCCCCGGCUCUUCACCUUUCACAUAGAUUCAACCAGCCAGCGCCUUGGCCGUCCAAAUAUUGACUUCUACAGUCUACCCCUUCGAAUCCUGAUAACAGGAUGUGGCGGUGAGAAUCAGGAUCUUGCAGCGACCAAGGGCUGGAUGGCAGAGACACUGGCCUCUUUCGCAAUGCCAACACCUGACAAAUUCACAGAAAUCUGUUUGCGUACUUCGCAACUUGUCGCCUCCCUCCACGACUUUCUCCCAGAAACGGUUGUGAAAGAGUGCGAUAUGAGAUGGGGAGGAGUUGCCGACUCACGAUUUUUAAUAGAGGGCUCAGGGGGUGAUCUGGUGUCCUCGUCAGAGCAGUGUCUGAUCGAUCCCAUGUGGAAGAUCGCUGUCUCCAUGACUCUGCGAUGCAGUACAAAUCACUUGGCAGAUGCCGAGCACCGCCUCAAGAUCAUAUUCCAUCAUCAGCAACUGGAUGAUGAUGAUUUGGGAAGACGUGUAAGACGAGAACUCCGAAAUCGUUCGCCCUUCUUCGAGCAGGGUCUCUACACAGUUGCUGUUGAGGAGGAAAAAGAGCCCGGUGAACUUGUCACUGUUGUUCGCGCAAGAGAUCCAGAGGGUGGUACUGUUCAUUACUCUAUGAUGUCUCUUCUCGAUGCUAGAUCCGGUGCCCUCUUUCUACUCGAUUCAACAUCUGGAAAAGUAACAACACGCGCUAAACUCGAUCGGGAAAGUGUCGACGUACAUUAUUUCAAAGUACUGGCUGUCGACGACUCGUUCCCACCGAGAACCGGCACAACUACACUUCAGGUCAAUGUCCUAGACGCUAAUGAUCAUGCACCGAGCUUCGAGUGGCCGGAGUACGAGGCGCCUAUUAGAGAGAGUGUGCCAUUAGGCUCUACUGUAAUCGCGGUUAAAGCAACAGACAAGGAUUUCGGUCGCAACGCAGAGGUCGAGUACUCCAUAGUUUCAACAACUGGCGGGGGAAUGACAUCGUUGACUGAGGACUCAGCGACCUUCCGAAUUGAUCCAAAAUCAGGUGUCGUUACCACCAGGAUGUCCCUCGAUAGAGAAAAAACUGACGUCUACACAGUGAUAAUAAAUGCUGUGGAUCAGGCGCCCUCUCCAGCCACGCGAAAAACAGCAACCACUACUCUCAUCGUUAGAAUCCUUGAUGACAAUGAUAAUUAUCCUCAAUUCUCUGAAAGGUCUUACUCAAUAACAGCCUCUGAAGACAUGGACUACACCGUCAAUCCCGUGAUAGCGCGAAUUCGAGCAACAGACGCUGACACAGGUGCCAAUGCAGCGAUAAGGUACGCCAUAAUAGGUGGAAACACUCAGAACACAUUCUCUAUUGACUCGUUGAGUGGAGACGUGACUCUGGUGAAACCACUGGACUACGAGACAACAGAUCUGUACAGAAUAGUAGUGAGGGCGCAGGACGGGGGUUCCCCGGCUCGAUCAAACACCACUCAACUGCUCGUUCAUGUUCAAGACGUCAACGACAAUGCACCGAGGUUCUUCACGAGUCUUCUCCAGGAGACAGUCUCUGAGGGAGUGCCCAUUGGGCAUUCCGUCGUUAAGGUGCAAGCCUAUGACGGCGAUAAGGGGCUCAAUGCCCUCAUAAAGUACUCCAUUGGGGCUAGGGACUUCUCCGGGGCAUCCACUGAGAAUUUUCCCAUCGCUGUUAAUCCUGAAAGCGGAUGGAUUCAUACCACAAAGCAGUUGGAUAGGGAGCAGAACUCCAGAUAUCAGUUUACGGUAGUUGCCACGGAUUCUGGGGAACCCCCGAGAUCCGGCAGCGCCACUGUCGUUCUCACUGUUACCGAUAUCAAUGACAAUGAUCCAACCUUUGAACCUAGAAAUUACGAGACCGUUGUCUCUGAGGAUGAUCCACCUGGCACGUCAGUGGCACUCGUCACUGCCACUGAUCCCGAUGAAGAUGCAAAGAUUCAUUAUGAUAUAACAGCGGGAAACACCAGGGGACGGUUCUCCAUUACUUCGCAGAAUGGUGGGGGUCUCAUUACGGUUGCUCAACCCCUUGAUUACAAGCAGGAGAAGAGAUUUGUGUUGACGGUGACGGCCUCGGACUCGGGGGGGCGUGCUGAUACUGCGUUGGUGUACGUUAAUGUCUCGGAUGCCAAUAAUUUCGCGCCAAUUUUUGAAAAUGCACCGUAUUCCGUCUCGGUGUUUGAAGAUGCGCCGAUCGGCACUACAGUCUUGGUAGUCAGUGCAACGGACUCUGACGUGGGGCAGAAUGCACAGGUGACCUAUAGUCUCGGCUCCGAUGGCGAUGGACUUGAAGCCGCUGAGUUUACCAUCAAUCCCCAAACCGGGGCCAUCACCACCACUAGACCAUUGGACAGGGAGCGCUCCUCUGGGUAUCUUCUGACGGUCACGGCAAAGGAUGGAGGUGUUCCAUCCUUAUCUGAUACUACUGACGUUGAAAUUUCUGUUACCGAUGUCAAUGACAACGCACCCGUUUUCGAUGCUGGACAGUACACCGGCACUAUUCUUGAGGAUGUCGUCGUCGGCACGAGUGUUGUCAAGGUCUCUGCCACUGAUGCUGAUAUGGGGUUGAAUGGUAGGGUGAGAUAUACCCUCGAGGAUGAUGGUGACGGGGCCUUCGCUAUUGACUCCACCACUGGCAUUGUCAGGACUGCUAAACAACUCGAUCGAGAAUCGGUUGCCAGAUAUACCUUGAAGGCCGUCGCCGUGGACAGAGGUAUCCCAGCGCUGUCCUCAACAGUCCCGAUAAUAAUCAAGAUCCAGGACGUCAACGAUUCACCCCCCGCCUUCGAGAGUGACAAACUCAUCCUGUACAUUCCCGAGAACUCCCCAGUCGGCUCAACAGUCGGUGAGAUUUACGCUCACGAUCCAGACGAGGGACUCAACGCCGUCGUCCAGUAUUCAAUAAUUGGCGGAGAAGACGCCAACAGUUUCGCCCUAAAUACAGCCCAGGGGGCAGAUCGUGCCGAGCUCGUCACCCUUGAAGAACUCGAUUACGAGUCCACCAAAAAGAAAUUCGAACUCUUCGUUCGUGCCUCCUCCCCACCACUGCGUUCUGACGUUCUUGUCCAGGUAAUGAUAACAGACGUGAAUGACAAUGCCCCAGUCCUCAAGGACUUCCACAUUAUCUUCAACAACUUCAAGGACUUUUUCCCUACAACUUCAAUCGGACGAGUGCCGGCAUUCGAUGCCGAUGUGACCGACAAGCUAACUUACAGCAUUCUAGCUGGUAAUACCGCCAAUUUGAUAACAUUAAACAGAACAUCCGGCGAGAUAAGCCUGUCACCUCAAUUAAACACUAAUGUAGCCCGAGUCGCUACCAUGGAAGUCUCAGUAUCGGAUGGAGUUAACGAGGCCAAAGCCACGAUGACCAUGUCCAUACGAUUGAUAACAGAUAAAAUGCUGCAUAAUUCGAUAACAGUGAGAUUAGACGACAUGACGGUGGAGGCAUUCCUCAGUCCUCUCCUCAAUUAUUUUAUGGAUGGUCUAGCUGCAAUAAUACCCUGUCCACGAGAGAAUAUAUUUAUAUUCAGUGUACAGGAGGACACAGACGUGCAAUCGAAAAUUCUCAAUGUCAGUUUUUCAGCGAGAAAAGUCGAGCCUGGAAAUAACGACGAGUUCUACAGUCCCCAGUACCUACAGGAGAGGGUUUACCUCAAUCGGGGAAUCCUAGCGAGAUUGUCAACGCUCAUUGUUCUUCCAUUUGAUGAUAAUCUCUGCGUUAGAGAGCCCUGUCUCAAUUAUGAGGAAUGCGUGACAGUCCUGAAGUUUGGCAAUGCCUCGGGUUUUGCCAGUAGCAAUACUGUAUUGUUUAGACCGAUUUAUCCAGUGACGACGUUUUCCUGCGAAUGCCCGAGAGGAUUUACUGGGAGUAAGGAGGCUUAUCUCUGUGACAUGGAGGUCAAUCUUUGUUAUUCAAACCCCUGCACCAACGGUGGCACCUGCCAGAGGAAGGAAAGUGGGUACACCUGCACGUGUGGAGCGAAUUACACUGGAACCAACUGUGAGGUUUCUAUAAAUACUGACAGCUGCACGUCGGGGAUAUGUCAGGGGGGUGGACAGUGCGCUGACAGAUUGGGUGGUGGGUUUAGAUGUGAAAGUUGCUCGAUAAGUCAGGACAGUGCCACUAAUUUCUGCGAGCUCAGGGCGAGGUCCUUUGGCCCCACAACAUUCCUCACUUUUGGAUCGUUGAAGCAGAGGCACCGGCUUCACAUCAGCCUGAAAUUCGCCACUGAGGCACCCGAGGGAUUGCUACUUUACAAUGGACGGUACAAUGAGAAGCAUGACUUCAUCGCUUUGGAGAUUGUCAACUCGAAGGUGCAAUUCAGCUUCUCUCUGGGGGAUGAGAUUACCAGAGCUAGGGCUGAGAUACCAGGGGGAGUUGCCGAUGGCCAGUGGCACAAGGUUGAGGUGGUCUACAUCAACAGAACCGUUACGAUUGCUCUCGAUGAAUGCGAUAUUUCUUUAGCCUUGAGGUAUGGAGACAGAUUGGGAAAAAAGUGGGCGUGUGCUGGGUCUGCAGAGCAGAUCCUCGAGCCCCGAUGCAAUUCCUUCACCGAGACUUGUCACAGAUUUCUCGAUCUCACUGGACCCAUGCAGCUGGGAGGUCUACCAGCUAUUCCUUCAGACUUUCAGGUUCAUAAUAAGGACUUUGUAGGGUGCAUCAAGGAUGUCUACAUCGAUCACAAAUUUGUGGAUCUUAAUUCUUUUGUCGCUGAUAAUGGAACGACUGUGGGGUGCCCUGAGAAGAGGGCAUUCUGUGAUUCGAUGCCCUGUCACAAUGGAGGGACCUGCAGGGAGAUCUGGUCUGGAUUUGUGUGCGAGUGUGAGGAGGGCUUCGCUGGGCCUCAGUGUAGCGACGAGGUGGGGAAGCCCUGGAGGUUUCACGGGGAUGGGGUUUUGAGUUUUAAUCCUCUUUUGAGACCGAUUCAACUGCCAUGGAUGACUGCUCUCAGUCUCAGAACGCGGGCUACUAAUGCAUUCGUUAUGAGCAUUCAAAUUGGACAGAAUAGCUCGGCAUUAUUCUCCUUGAGAGAGGGCCGAUUGGAGACUUCUCUGGAUGGUGUCGAUAUUAUUAAAACACCUACACCUAUUAAUAAUGGCGAAUGGCAUAGGUUAGAGAUUAUCUGGCAGUCUGGUCAUGUCUCUCUGGACAUCAAUUAUAGGAAUAGACCUCUGAUUUCUCCUUUGCCUGCGAAACUUCAGGGGCUGUACGUGGGGAGGAUACUCUUGGGGGGUGGGGAUCCCUCUGUGAGUGCUGAUACUCCCUUCUUCGAUGGAUGCCUGCAGGAUCUGAGGAUUGGCACCAAUCAGAGCAUUCUCCAGAGACCCACAGCUCAGGAGAAUGUGGGCACAGGUUGUCUUGCUGAUGACGAGUGCAGUGUUACAUGCCCUCAGGAGUCCAUGUGUCUCACCAGGUGGCAGUCCUCCGAGUGUGUCUGUAAUUCAGGCAGGAUUGGAGAUCAGUGCAAGGGAAUUUGUGAGGUGAAUCCCUGCCACAGUGAGUCAGGACGAUGUAUCGAGGAUUCUGGUUUAAAAAAGGGAUACAAGUGCGAAUGUAAUAGCGAGGAAUAUUCUGGAGAGUACUGCGAAGUCAAGGUGGAUCAGCCGUGUCCUGCCACGUGGUGGGGUGCACCGGUCUGUGGACCCUGUCAUUGUGAUGAGACUAAAGGGUACAAUCCUUCUUGCAAUAAGACGACCGGUGAGUGCUACUGCAAGGAGAAUCAUUAUCAACCCCCUGGGCAGGUUGAGUGCAUUCCCUGUGAGUGUUAUGCCACUGGCAGCUAUGGACCCAGGUGUCAUACUGAAACAGGUCAGUGUAGAUGUCGAACUGGUGUGAUAGGGAGAGCCUGCACAGACUGCCCAAAUCCCUACGCCGAGGUGACGCUUCGCGGCUGUGAAGUAGUGUACGAUGGGUGCCCCAGGUCAUACUCCCAAGGGUUGUGGUGGCCACGCACAAAAUUCGGUAUGAAUGCCAUUGAGGACUGCCCUGGGCCUGCCGAAGGCAAAUCGUCACGUUCCUGUGACGAUAAACUCGGUGGCUGGCAGCCCCCAGAUCUCUUCAACUGCACCUCAGAGGCCUUCAUCGAAAUUCGCUAUCAACUCGGUGCUCUGGAAAAUGGAGAUCUAGCUCUCAGUCGAGAUGUGGCAGUUAAAAUGGCUAAAGACCUUCACAAAGCUGUCAACAUUACCAAGUCAAUGUACGGUGCUGAUGUUCUAGUCACUGAAUCAUUAUUCAUAAAUUUAUUACGAUACGAAGAGAGUCUAGCUGAUCUCCAUCUCACGCACAACCAAGACAAGGAUUACGUGCCACACCUGGUGGCUAUUGCUGGAGCAAUCCUGAGGAAAAAACACUCUAGCAAUUGGGAGAGGAUUUAUUCCCUGAAUGGCGAUGCACCUGAUAAAAUUUUAGACGCUUUGGCGAGGUAUUUGAAGAUCGUCACUGGAUCUCAGCACAAUACUUUUACCGAUCCCUUCGAAGUCGUCGAUUCCAAUGUUGUCAUGGGGCUAGACACUGUCACAUCAGAAAGUCUCUUUGGAUACGAGGCUAUAGAGGACGAGGAGGAUAAAUCUCUGUCGACGGCAAGGCCCUCCGAGGCUGACAGACGAGUUGUCCUUCCUGACACAUCUGCCUUUUUAUCGAGCCCAGCCCAUUUGGGACCCUAUAUCAGUUUCCCCAAGUAUAAUAAUUACAUGGCAGAUCCCAAUAGGUUCGAUCCUUACUCAAAGAUCAGAGUUCCCCUGAGGCUCCUGGGGAUUAAGCCUCUUCCCCAGGGGGAUAUCAAUGAUAUCGAGCCUGAUGACACUCACAAGGCUGUCUUGAGUUAUGUUCAGUACAAGGAGCUGGGAGCUAUUCUACCAAAACGAUUCGAUGACUCUGUUAGUGUGAGAUGGGGCGUGGAGGUUGCUGUUGGAUCCCCUGUGGUCACUGUGUCCGUUCUUGUACCCUCAGAGAAUGGCUCCAAGGCGUUAUCAGGCUCUUCCUUGAAUUCUCCCGUUCAAAUUCAACUCUGGAUCAUCGAGGACGAUGGCAUGAAGCUCCGGGCGAAUCCGCAGUGUGUCCACUGGAGUACAGCCCGGGGGAUUGGUGAAUGGUCUAGAAUAGGCUGCACCACUGAAACAGAGGAAGUCGACUCAUCAGGGCGUCAGAUGGUAAACUGCUCCUGUCAGGGAGUGAUCCUCCAAGUGAAGAACCUCCAGCUGGCGACCUUCGCGGUUCUCACGGAUGUCCUGGAUCUCGAGUACGUACCAGAACCGUCACUCCUCGAGGACGUAACCAGCUACAGCUCCUUCCUCCUCGCUCUCCCCCUCCUCCUCUCAGCUCUGUUAAUUUUAGGACUAAUCCGCGGGGGAGAGACCAACUCCAACACAAUUCACAAGAAUCUCGUGUUCUGUGUUUUCUCAGCGGAAAUUUUGUACCUGGUGGCAUUAAAAGCCCGAGGUCCUCUCGUUUCCAACGAGUUCCCUUGUAAAUUAAUAGCAAUUGGAUUACACUACACUUGGCUCUGCGCUUUCGCCUGGACUCUAGUCGACUCUAUUCAUCUUUAUCGAAUGCUGACGGAGAUGAGGGACGUCAAUCAUGGACAGAUGAGGUUUUAUUACACCGUGGGGUAUGCAAUGCCCGCGAUAAUCGUAGGUUUAACGAUCGGAGUGAGAGCUGAUCAAUAUGGGAAUUUUUAUUUUUGCUGGUUAUCGAUCUACGAAACUGUCGUUUGGUCGUUGAUCGGACCUAUUUGCGCAGCGGUACUGAUAAAUUUCUGCAUUCUCAUUAUGUCGGUGAAGGCAGCUUUCACGCUCAAGGAGCACAUCAUGGGAUUUGGUAAUCUGAGGACCUUGCUCUGGCUAUCAGUGGCCUCUCUACCACUGUUGGGCACCACCUGGACUCUCGCUGUGCUCAAUGCAUCUGAAAACUCUCCAAUGUUGUCGUACCUCCUGAGUAUUGCUGUUCUCGUGCAUGCGGCAUUCAGUCUCAUUGGAUACUGCUUCAUCAAUGGAAGGGUAAGGAGGAAUUUGUAUCUGAGUUUAUUGAGCUGUGUGGGAAAGAAAGCUCCUUUACUCGAGGCGAGUGUCGCCAAUGGGAGCAGCAGUCAAAAUGUUAAUGGCCAGUCCAGAUCGGCACUGGCAUAUGCCUCAUAUUCUGGCACUGAUGCGUGCAGAAGGGUUCACGUUGGUGUCUCCACUAGUAGCACUACCUCGAGGAGCACCAAUAAAACUGGCUCCAGCCCCUACAGGAGUGACGCACAUCUCAGGCACACUAGCACGAGUACUAGUAAUUAUAAUAGUGAUCGGGAUCCCUAUGUCACCAGAGCACAUCAUGCUAAUCUCCAUGUCCGUCAAGAGAACAACGAGCCCCGAGGAAUUCGAAGAGACUCAGAGUCAGACUCGGAUGGAUCCCAGGGAGGUGGAGGUCGAAGUCUGGACCUGGCGAGCUCCCACAGUUCAGACGAUGAUGAGGUGACCUCGAGGUCCCACAAGAACAUGGGAGUCUCCAAUCAACAGCCAGUGUCUCACAGCUACCUCCCCAACAUCCAUCCAACAUCCGGUGAUCACUUGAAUAUCCUCUGUUCAAACUCUGAACUCUUCCCCAAUAUAAAACCGAUCUACGCCCCUCGCUGGAGCUCUCAACUACCCGAGGCAUAUUUACCAACGAACGUGGAUAUCAGGGGUAGUCAGUGGUCUGGGGGCACCAUCUCCGACAACGAAAUUGCCUCCAAUAAGACUUCGAGCCCCAAUCCUCUUCCCUAUCCCGACAUGAACUCCCCUCAGAAGCUGGAAGAGAAUUGCUCUGAGGGGGAGGAGAAGACUCACCACAUUGGCGAAAAGUACCUGUUCCCUUAUACUGCUGAGGAAGAUCACACCGUCUCUCCUACUCCUUACAUGCUCUCCAUGAGCUCAAGGAUCCUUGGGUCCAGCCUGAGUCAUCACUCGCAGGGAUCCCAUCAUGACAAUCACAGUGGGUCUGAGAGAUAUGGCAGUUUGAAGAGGGGCACCAGCCUCCAUGGCUCUCAUCAUGAUAAUCUCAGUGGAUCUGAGAGGUAUGGAAGUCUUAAAAGGGGCAAAAUAACGUCCAGCAUUCUCGAUACUCCGGAGUAUAUUCUACCGAUGGGUGGAAGAAUUCUGGGGACUUCUCUCAGUCAUGAUCUACAUCAUACUGGAGAACUCGCUGCUCUCAGAGCACAGCAUCAACAGCAGCACCAGCAGCAGCACCAGCAGCAGCAGCAUUAUGAGCAAACAAUCACUGAGACCGAGUGGGGUUGGAACAUUCUGAGCUAACAGUAUCUUUUCUCUAAUAAUCUGCUUACCUGGAUAUGGUGAUGGCUAUCAACAACAGUGAAGAGGAAGGAUACUAACGCCGAGACACCGGUUUGAGAGACUCCGUCUACAAGGAAAUUACCGUACAAACUGAAAUACCUUAAGGCUUAGCCUUUUUUACAUGCAAUUUUACAAAAAAAAAAGCAAAAAACAAAAAACAAACAAACAAAUAAACAAAAACCUUAGAAAGUUAUGAAUAGAGGCUGAAGAGAGAUAAUUGAAUAUUUUAAGUGGCCAUUACUGUACUUGAAGAAAUGGAGACAAACUUAAUUUAAGCCAUAUGUAAUUCAUUAGUCUGUAUGUGUGAGUGCCUGUACGUAAGCCUAAAAGAUGCUUUAUUUCCUAAAUCCUAAAUCGGUGUAUCUAGCUUUCUUGCGAAUUUAAUUAAUUACUGACUGGGUGACAGAGCAAUUGUCGUUAAUUAAAUUGUCGUCUAAUGAUUUUAUAAAUAAGUAUUAAUAAUAAGUGACUACUGCGACAAUUGCAAUGACUGGAGUAGCCCAGUAAAUGAUCUCUCUUUGCUCAUUUCAAAAUACUCGUACUUAAUCUAUAAUUGUCUAUUCCCUAAUCAGUGAAUUCAGUAUCGUGCAAUGUAAACAUUCCACACACUUUUUUUUUAUCAUUCUUUUACUCAGAUUUUAUGUAUUUCUUAAGUUUUUUUACAAAUGUUUUUAUGAUUUUUUUUUUUAUCCAUUUUUAAAGUGUAAUUUUGUAAAGCCCAGGGUGACAAAUCCUAGAGCUCCAUAAUACUCAAGAUUUUUGUAUAUAUUUAUACGAAGAAACAUGACAAAAUACAUAAUUUAUAUAUCCUAAUCUCAAGACUAUCGUUCAAUACAUUGACCUUAGAAGUUUGUUUUUAAAAUUAUCAUCGACUACCAGCAAGAGACUUUUCAUUUCUAUUUUUUCAUCGCUUGGAAACUAUAAAUAAAUUACAAAAAAUAGAUUUAAGGGAUGACUGGGAUACAAUGAUUGCAAUAAAAAAAAAAAAAUAUAAUCUAGGGUUUUCGUAUUAAAUUAAUUGUGAAGUAGAACAGGAUAAGUCAAAUUAUCAUUUCGUUUCGCUGAUCUGGAAAUUCAGUGAAUAGGAGAAUUUUUAAUGAACUGACUUCAUAAAAAAUCUGCAAUCUCAUGUAAUUUAGAGCC